UACGGAAGGCAGCAGUGGGGAAUAUUGCACAAUGGGCGCAAGCCUGAUGCAGCCAUGCCGCGUGUAUGAAGAAGGCCUUCGGGUUGUAAAGUACUUUCAGCGGGGAGGAAGGCGAUGUGGUUAAUAACCGCGUCGAUUGACGUUACCCGCAGAAGAAGCACCGGCUAACUCCGUGCCAGCAGCCGCGGUAAUACGGAGGGUGCAAGCGUUAAUCGGAAUUACUGGGCGUAAAGCGCACGCAGGCGGUCUGUUAAGUCAGAUGUGAAAUCCCCCGGGCUUAACCUGGGAACUGCAUUUUGAAACUGGCAGGCUUGAGUCUCGUAGAGGGGGUAGAAUUCCAGGUGUAGCGGUGAAAUGCGUAGAGAUCUGGAGGAAUACCGGUGGCGAAGGCGGCCCCUGGACGAAGACUGACGCUCAGGUGCGAAAGCGUGGGGAGCAAACAGGAUUAGAUACC
rnacentral:rRNA from 1 species